rnacentral:rRNA from 1 species
UAUGUAGGGUGCAAGCGUUGUCCGGAAUUAUUGGGCGUAAAGAGCUCGUAGGCGGUUUGUUGCGUCGGCUGUGAAAUCCCGAGGCUCAACCUCGGGUCUGCAGUCGAUACGAGCAAACUAGAGUGUUGCAGGGGAGACUGGAAUUCCUGGUGUAGCGGUGAAAUGCGUAGAUAUCGGGAGGAACACCAGUGGCGAAGGCGACUACCUGGCCUGUUUCUUGACGCUGAGGCGCGAAAGCUAGGGGAGCAAACGGG